UCAUCACACAAAUAAGUCACCAACCAUUGACGGCCUAGGCUUCCCCAGGGAUGCAACAUCUAUAUUUAGCUUCAACUUUUGUACCGAGGCAGGAUUCACUUAACAUGAACCCGUUGUGUACAACCUCCAGUAACCAAUAUCUUUUGUAAUUAUAACCAGCCCAGCACCUAGGUAACACCUAUCAAGCACCACCCCCGGUGGAUUAAAGGGGGCCCUCUAUGCUGAACUUCUUGCCUUCAUCAAUAUAUUGGUAAAGGUUUACAUCAAAUAAAUAAAAAAAU
rnacentral:lncRNA from 1 species